rnacentral:rRNA from 1 species
AACGGUGCACGUUCGCUGUAAGAGGAAUCGACCCCUUUUGUGGCGAAGCUAACGCGUUAAACGUGCCGCCUGGGAAGUACGGUCGCAAGAUUAAAACUCAAAGAAAUUGACGGGGGCCUGCACAAGCGGUGGAGUAUGUGGCUUAAUUCGAUGCAACGCGAAGAACCUUACCUGGCCUUGACAUGUACGUAGUAGAAGGGUGAAAGCCUGACGAGGUAGCAAUACCAGCGUACACAGGUGCUGCAUGGCUGUCGUCAGCUCGUGUCGUGAGAUGUUGGGUUAAGUCCCGCAACGAGCGCAACCCUUGCGUCCUGUUGCCACCCAGCCGAGAGGCUGGAGCACUCUGGACGGACUGCCUCAUUUAAAUGAGGAGGAAGGUGGGGAUGACGUCAAGUCAGUAUGGCCCUUACGGCCAGGGCUGCACACGUACUACAAUGCCCGGCACAGAGGGAAGCAAGACCGUAAGGUGGAGCAAAUCCCAAAAAACCGGGCCCAGUUCAGAUUGUCGUCUGCAACUCGACGGCAUGAAGCUGGAAUCGCUAGUAAUGGCGCAUCAGCUACGGCGCCGUGAAUACGUUCCCAGGCCUUGUACACACCGCCCGUCACAUCAUGAAAGCCGGUUGUACCCGAAGUCGCCCCUUAUAAGGUGCCGAAGGUAUGGCUGGUGAUUGGGA